rnacentral:rRNA from 1 species
UACGGGGGGGGCAAGCGUUGUUCGGAAUUACUGGGCGUAAAGGGCUCGUAGGUGGCCAACUAAGUCAGACGUGAAAUCCCCAGGCUUAACCUGGGAACUGCAUCCGAUACUGGAUGGCUUGAAUCCGGGAGAGGGAUGCAGAAUUCCAGGUGUAGCGGUGAAAUGCGUAGAUAUCUGGAGGAAUACCGGUGGCGAAGGCGGCAUCCUGGACCGGCAUUGACGCUGAUGAGCGAAAGCUAGGGGAGCAAACGGG